GAAAUAGCUCAGUUGGGAGAGCGUUAGACUAUAGAUCAAAAAGUCCCUGGUUCGAUCCGGCAAACUUUUU
rnacentral:tRNA from 1 species